CCUACGGGAGGCAGCAGUGGGGAAUAUUGGGCAAUGGGCGCAAGCCUGACCCAGCAACGCCGCGUGAAGGUAGAAGGCUUUCGGGUUGUAACCUUCUUUUCUCAGGGACGAAGCAAGUGACGGUACCUGAGGAAUAAGCCACGGCUACUUACGUGCCAGCAGCCGCGGUAAUACGUAGGUGCAAGUGUUAUCCGGAUUUACUGGGUGUAAAGGGCGUGUAGGCGGGACUGCAAGUCAGAUGUGAAAACCACGGGCUCAACCUGUGGCCUGCAUUUGAAACUGUAGUUCUUGAGUACUGGAGAGGCAGACGGAAUUCCUAGUGUAGCGGUGAAAUGCGUAGAUAUUAGGAGGAACACCAGUGGCGAAGGCGGUCUGCUGGACAGCAACUGACGCUGAGGCGCGAAAGCGUGGGGAGCAAACAGGAUUAGAUACCCUGGUAGUC
rnacentral:rRNA from 1 species